GACGAACGCUGGCGGCGUGCUUAACACAUGCCAGUCGAACGGAAAGGCCCUGCUUUUGUGGGGUGCUCGAGUGGCGAACGGGUGAGUAACACGUGAGUAACCUGCCCUUGACUUUGGGAUAACUUCAGGAAACUGGGGCUAAUACCGGAUAGGAGCUCCUGCUGCAUGGUGGGGGUUGGAAAGUUUCGGCGGUUGGGGAUGGACUCGCGGCUUAUCAGCUUGUUGGUGGGGUAGUGGCUUACCAAGGCUUUGACGGGUAGCCGGCCUGAGAGGGUGACCGGCGACAUGGGUCCUGAGAGACGGCCCAGACGGCUACGGGAGGCAGUAGUGGGGAAUAUUGCACAGUGGGCGGACGCCUGAUGCAGAAACGCCGCGGGCGGGAUGACGGCCUUCGGGUUGUAAACCGCUUUCGCCUGUGACGAAGCGGGAGUGACGGUAAUGGGUAAAGAAGCACCGGCUAACUACGUG
rnacentral:rRNA from 1 species